GUUUUACAGUCGGGAUAUUUAGAUGUCGUGGUUCCACCGGAUAUCCUAAACCACCCUGAUGAAAAUAUCAAUGAAGGUGUUAGUACGGAAGGAGGGAGCAUUUCCUUACUAUGCAGUGCCACAGGUGUACCAGAGCCUAUGGUUCAAUGGCGACGGGAAGGCGGCAAGGAUAUUAUAAUUCGAUCAGAGGGUAGAGACAAGCAAGCAUUCAAAUCAGUGGAAGGCGAGCGACUGACUCUUGCUCACGUUCAUCGUACGGAUAUGGGGGGCUACCUUUGCAUUGCAUCAAAUGGAGUUCCACCUUCAGUGAGCAAACGCUUUGAUGUUCACGUAAAUUG